UACGAAGGGGGCUAGCGUUGCUCGGAAUCACUGGGCGUAAAGGGUGCGUAGGCGGACUCUUAAGUCGGUGGUGAAAUCCUGGAGCUCAACUCCAGAACUGCCUUCGAUACUGGGAGUCUCGAGUCCGGGAGAGGUGAGUGGAACUGCGAGUGUAGAGGUGAAAUUCGUAGAUAUUAGGAAGAACACCGGUGGCGAAGGCGCCUAUCUGGCCCGAUACUGACGCUGAGGCGCGAAAGCUAGGGGAGCAAACGGG
rnacentral:rRNA from 1 species